rnacentral:lncRNA from 1 species
GCGACUUGAAGAAAUGGAAAGGGUGAUGCUGAUUUUUAGAGACUGCAGCCCACCUCGCCAUCCCCAGAAUCCUUUCUAAGCCCAGGGAAAGGUAGGAAGCAGGAGCCUGGAUCAGCUGCUCCUCUGGGUUGCUGCUGUGGUCGAGUGACUUUCCAGAUUGGAUCAUGUGCCCAGCCAGAGCUGCAAAGCAUCAGACAUUCCUCAGCAACCAGCCAAGCGAGGCUGUGAGUGUCAGCCGUGGAGGAGGUUAAUGAUUCGCCGGU